GAUGAACGCUAGCGGGAGGCUUAAUACAUGCAAGUCGAGGGGUAACAUGGAAGCUUGCUUUUGAUGACGACCGGCGCACGGGUGAGUAACGCGUACACAAUCUGCCUUAGAUAGGGGGAUAGCCCUGGGAAACUGGGAGUAAUCCGCCAUAGUGUUGAUGAAUGGCAUCAUUUAUCGACUAAAGUUACGGCGAUCUAAGAUGAGUGUGCGUCCUAUUAGUUAGUUGGUGAGGUAACGGCUCACCAAGACGAUGAUAGGUAGGGGGCGUGAGAGCGUGAUCCCCCACAUGGGUACUGAGACACGGACCCAACUCCUACGGGAGGCAGCAGUAAGGAAUAUUGGACAAUGGGCGGAAGCCUGAUCCAGCCAUCCCGCGUGUAGGAAGACUGCCCUAUGGGUUGUAAACUACUUUUAUAUGGGAGGAAUACUUCGGUCGUGCAUCGGAGUUGACAGUACCAUAGGAAUAAGCACCGGCUAACUCCG
rnacentral:rRNA from 1 species